ensembl:lncRNA
AACAGGUCACAAAUCUUGCUGUUGUGAUGUGUAAUGAACACAAGAGGAGACAGAGAGCUGGAUUCAAGUGCAGGGUGCAGCAGGUGUUUAUUGCAAAGGACCACAGGAAGAGGCAGGUAGCUGGGUCCAGGGGCAGGCAGAAGGUUAUACACAGGAGGAGGCAGGUAGCUGGGUCCAGGGGCAGGCAGAAGGUUAUACACAGGAGGGGGCAUGUAGCUGGGUCCAGGGGCAGGCAGAAGGUCAUACACAGGAGGGGGCAUGUAGCUGGGUCCAGGGGCAGGCAGAAGGUCAUACACAGGAGAAGGCAGGUAGCUGGGUCCAGGGGCAGGCAGAAGGUCAUACACAGGAGAAGGCAGGUAGCUGGGUCCAGGGACAGGCAGAAGGUCAUACACAGGAGAAGGCAUGUAGCUGGGUCCAGGGGCAGG